rnacentral:lncRNA from 1 species
CAAGUCCUGGCACACGAUGUUCAAAAGAAAGACCUUGGCUCCCACUGAACUCUUAGAAGGCAGAUGCCAGGAUCUGCAACCCCAGGGUUGUGAGGAGAUCCUGAGCUCUCAGCCAAUGAGAGAGAAUAUUACAGACUAUGCUGUAUGCUCCUAUCCAAUGGCUGCUGAGUACCCAUGGCGUGCCAGACAUGGUGCUAAUUAAUGAAGAUGAAACAAUGAAUGUUCAGAACGCGGUGACUAAUGACCCAUGCUGUGCAUGAGCUUCCUGGGAUACCCAUGUACACUUCCUUCUACCUGCUGGCCCAUGCUCCGAACUGUGCCCUUC